GACGAACGCUGGCGGCGUGCCUAAUACAUGCAAGUCGAACGAACCGCGACUAGGUGCUUGCACUUGGUCAAGGUGAGUGGCGAACGGGUGAGUAACACGUGGGUAACCUACCUCAUAGUGGGGGAUAACAGUCGGAAACGACUGCUAAUACCGCAUAGGACAUAGGAUCACAUGAUUCUGUGAGGAAAGGUGGCGCAAGCUAUCGCUAAGAGAUGGACCCGCGGUGCAUUAGCUAGUUGGUAGGGUAAAGGCCUACCAAGGCGAUGAUGCAUAGCCGACCUGAGAGGGUGAUCGGCCACAUUGGGACUGAGACACGGCCCAAACUCCUACGGGAGGCAGCAGUAGGGAAUCUUCCGCAAUGGACGCAAGUCUGACGGAGCAGCGCCGCGUGAGUGAAGAAGGUCUUCGGAUCGUAAAGCUCUGUUGUUAGAGAAGAACAGCGCAUAGAGUAACUGUUAUGCGUGUGACGGUAUCUAACCAGAAAGCCACGGCUAACUACGUGC
rnacentral:rRNA from 1 species